CCCGGCAUCCCCCGCGUCCUCUCCCCUGUGUCCCGGCAUCCCCCGCGUCCUCUCCCCUGUGUCCCGGCAUCCCCCGCGUCCUCUCCCCUGUGUCCCGGCAUCCCCUGUGUCCCCUGCAUCCUCUCCCCUGUGUCCCGGCAUCCCCCGCAUCCUGUCCCCUGUGUCCCUGGCUUUCUCUGUGUCCUCUCCCCUGUGACCCAGCAUCCCCUGUGUCCUUGCUCCUGGACACCAGCCACCAGGGAAAGGCCACACCAGAGUCAGCUUUCCCCGUCACAGAUCAGCUGGCUGGGCUUUUGUGGGUCUAUUCCUGGGCUCCCCGUUUCGUCCCAGUCAUCCAUUUAUCUGUUCUUUCAUUGAUACUGUUACCUGGGAUGAAUGCCUAUGGAACAUAGCUGAAUUUCUACCCUGCGCUAACUCUGCUUAUCUUUAGGAAACAGGACUCCCAGGAUAAAAAGUUCCCUUUCUAACCAGACCAGCUGAGACUGGUUGAAACCAAGAUAGCUGACCGAGAAACUUCAAAAAGACCUUCAGCCUUAUUAUCAUCUCAUUUCCAUGCUCAGUGACACGCCCACAGUGCCAUGAUGGUUGGAAAUCACCAUGACGAUGACUGGAGGAAGGAAGGUCGCGCUCCGGUUCCAGGAAGCUCACUGCCCGCUCCCGGAAAAGACAUGAAUAUUCCUCCCCUUGCUUGGUGUGUCCAACCCUUUCAUGAGACAGUCAGUGUGUGUCAGCCUCCCCACCCCUCCCAGGCUGAGUGGAUUUGUGAGCCGCACUCCCACUUCUCAAUGCCAGGGCCACGGAAUGAAGCCUGCACUGCGGACACUCACUUUCGGUUUCAUGUAUUGGCUUCGUGACACCCCACAGCGAAAGACCCUCUGUUCUGGGGGAAUGACUGUGUUGGUGACAAAACCAUGCUUUCUGGAUCACUGUGGUAUUACGGCAGGGCUUGAAGUCAGGUAUGUGGGUUCUCCAACUCUGUUCUUUUUUCUUCCUCAUGGUGUUGGCUGUCCGAGGACUUUCGCCUUUCCAUAUGAACUUUAGACUCAGGUGGCAUCGCCUGCAGAAUGCCUUGCUGGGAUUGGCCGGGAUUGAACGUUAGACUCAGGUGGCAUCACCUGCAGAAUGCCUUGCUGGGAUUGGCCGGGAUUGAACGUUAGACUCAGGUGGCAUCACCUGCAGAAUGCCUUGCUGGGACUGGCUGGGAUUGAACGUUAGACUCAGGUGGCAUCGCCUGCAGAAUGCCUUGCGGGGAUUGGCUGGGAUUGAACGUUAGACUCAGGUGGCAUCGCCUGCAGAAUGCUUUGCUGGGAUUGGCUGGGAUUGAACGUUAGACUCAGGUGGCAUCGCCUGCAGAAUGCCUUGCUGGGAUUGGCCGGGAUUGAACGUUAGACUCAGGUGGCAUCGCCUGCAGAAUGCCUUGCUGGGAUUGGCCGGGAUUGAACGUUAGACUCAGGUGGCAUCACCUGCAGAAUGCCUUGCUGGGAUUGGCUGGGAUUGAACGUUAGACUCAGGUGGCAUCGCCUGCAGAAUGCCUUGCGGGGAUUGGCUGGGAUUGCAGCGAAUCACCUCUUGGCUCUAAUAGCCAAAAUUCAUAGCUGUGCAGAACUCUCUUUGAAAAAAUGGCCAAUGAUUACAUAAGAGUGAAUCCAAUUCCCAUUAACAAAUCUUAAUAUAAUACAUCCAACAAAGCUACGUGUAGAAACUAAGUGACAUCAAACAUAUGCUUGUCGUAAUCACGUGUGUUGAAAACUGUGUUGAAAAGUGCACCAGGUGCCAGUAGGGGCCAAGGGACCUAGGCCCCUUGCCAAGGUCAGCGCAUGCUGACCUGCGCUGGUGGUCGGGUGGAGGGCUCCAUUUGCAAACAGGCGACAGUUGGCUGCCAAUCUUGUUGAUCAUUUAUUUGCUGAUCAAAAAGGAAUUCUGUCAGUACUGUGCACCCUAACACAAUAUUUGGACCUUCAUACAUGUAUUAGUCGGUUUUCCUGCUGCUAAUAAAGACAUACCCAAGACUGGGUAAUUUAUAAAGGAAAGAGGUUUAAUGGACUCACAGUUCCGCAUGGCUGGGGAGGCCUCACAAUCAUGGUGAAUGGCAAAGGAGGAGCAAAGUUGCAUCUUACAUGGCAGCAAGCAAGAGGCCUUGUGCAGGGGAACUCCCAUUUAUAAAACCAUUAGAUCUCAUGAGACUUACUCACUAUCACGAGAACGGCAUGGGAAAUGUCUGCCUCCAUGAUUCAAUUACUUCCCACCAGGUCCCUCCCACAACACAUGGGAAUUAUGGGAGCUACAAUUCAAGAUGAGAUUUGGGUGGGGACUCAGCCAAACCAUAUCGAUACAUAAGCAUUUUACUGGGCUUUGGCUGUAUUAAGGGAUUGAUUGGAGAUUUUAAGAUCAUACAUUAUAAUUUUUCCCAUUUAAAAUAAUGCAAAAUGUGUUCUUCAUUGAUGCUUCCAAGCACAGAUUCUGACAUUUUGCAACAGGAUUCCAAUGUUAAGAGAAAGCUCCGUGUCACUUACUGGUUCUGAUGGGUCAGACCUGGACUCGGGGAAUGGAGGGGCUGGGUUCCUCCUAAACCACAGGGACUGAGGUGGGGUACGAGUGACUACCCAAAAGAACACUGGGGUUCAUUUAGCAACAGGAUGGGAAAUGGAUACUGAAAAGCAAAAUAACAAAUUUUACAAAAAUGUUUUCUGUCCAAGAAUUAAAUAUGUGACACAUCAAUGUGUUCAAUGUCCUUACAUAUUAUGCGUAAGACAUCUGGGCACAGAUAGGAAGGCAGGACAGGUCUGAGCACCUCCCGCCACCUCUCCCCUCCCGGCUCAGGAAAGCUGCUCACAGCUGCAGCCAGCCCGGCCCCCCGCCCUCACCUGCUCCCCCUGCUGUCUCCAGAGUCCCUGGGCUUUCUCCCCCUCCACCUGUUUCCUCUCCUUGGGCUGCCUCUCCCAGGCUAAACAUGCCCGGGGCACAUCAGUGUUGAAAAGAGCUGUUUCUCUGCUGUCCUCACCCCUAAGCUACAGGCUACACCUUGUUUCCCACCCACGGAGAAUCUUCUAGGGAAAUUAGUGCACAGGAUAAGCUUUUAACAGAUUAUCAGAAACGUUUUCAUCCUAGUGUUUCCUGUGACCAUGUGGCCCGCCCAUCCAGGAUGGUCUGCAUCCAGGGAAAGAUGGGGAAGAGGGGAGGGCAGGCCCAGUGGGGGCCUCCCCACCCACAGGCCCCUCCUCCUCCUGAUGGAGCAGCCCCAUCUGCUACAAGCACUCCCCAGGGGUGCGGGGUUCAUGCUUAGAGCAGCA
rnacentral:lncRNA from 1 species